AUAAAAAUAAGCUAAUUUAAGCUAUUAGGUUCAUACCCUACACAUAAAGGUAAUAAUCCUUUUUUUUAUA
rnacentral:tRNA from 1 species